ACGCUUGAUGAGAAGGACCCACGGCGUCUGUUCGAAGCAACGCCCUGCUGCGGCGGCUGGUCCGCAUUGGGGUGCUGGAUGAGGGCAAGAUGAAGCUGGAUUACAUCCUGGGCCUGAAGAUAGAGGAUUUCUUAGAGAGACGCCUGCAGACCCAGGUCUUCAAGCUGGGCUUGGCCAAGUCCAUCCACCACGCUCGCGUGCUGAUCCGCCAGCGCCAUAUCAGGUCCGCAAGCAGGUGGUGAACAUCCCGUCCUUCAUUGUCCGCCUGGAUUCCCAGAAGCACAUCGACUUCUCUCUGCGCUCUCCCUACGGGGGUGGCCGCCCGGGCCGCGUGAAGAG
rnacentral:lncRNA from 1 species